AUGUUGCCCCCGGCGCUGUCGCCGACCAGGAGCAGCCGCGUCAGGUCGGCGCAGCGUGACAGCCAGGGCUCCGCCCCGGACCGCGCGCUCCUGAGCACCCAUCUCAGCACCGCCCACGCGUCGUCGUAGGCCGCCGGGAGGGGGUGCUCCGGCGAGAGGUGGUAGUCCACGGACACGACGAGCGCCCCGGCCUUGGACGCGAGCGCGUUGAGGUACCGCUGGUACGUCGGCGAGAAGGCAGACUCCGUGACGAACCCGCCGCCGUGGUAG
rnacentral:rRNA from 1 species